rnacentral:rRNA from 1 species
GGUUAAGUUAUUAAGGGCGCAUGGUGGAUGCCUUGGCACUAGGAGCCGAUGAAGGACGGGACUAACACCGAUAUGCUUCGGGGAGCUGUAAGUAAGCUUUGAUCCGGAGAUUUCCGAAUGGGGGAACCCAACUUGUUAUGCAAGUUAUCACCUAAUGAAUAUAUAGUUAGGUUGAAGGUAGACGUUGUGAACUGAAACAUCUCAUUAGCAACAGGAAUAGAAAGAAAAAUCGAUACCGUCAGUAGCGGCGAGCGAAAUCGGUAGAGCCCAAACCAAAGUGCUUGCACUUUGGGGUUGUAGGACUGACAUUGUGGAGUUACAAAGUUAGCAUUUAGCAGAAUCAGCUGGGAAGCUGAGCGAGACAGGGUGAUAGCCCCGUAUGCGAAAAAUGUUGACCUCCCGUCAGGAUCCUGAGUACGGCCGGACACGUGAAAUCCGGUCGGAAUCCGCGAGGACCAUCUCGCAAGGCUAAAUACUCCCUAGUGACCGAUAGUGAACCAGUACCGUGAGGGAAAGG